GCCGUCCCCGUUCCCUCCGGGUCCUCCGCGCACCGCGGCUCCCGGCAGCGCGAGGGCGGCCGGCCAGAGCGGUUUCAAACUUCGAAAACUGCGCUCUGAUCGCGGGAACGUACAGACUCGUGCCGCCUCGAGUCCGAUUCUCGGAGCAGGUGUCAGGCGCCCGGCUACUGCUGUGCUGUGGGCACGGCCCGUGACGGUUCUGACGAGCAGCUGGGUAGGGCUCCGGGGGCUGCAGCCACCGAGCUCAGUAACUUCCUUUAAAAGCAACAUAAACAGGUGUGUUUUCCCGAUUACAGACAAGUUGAGUUCUUCAGAUGUGCAUUAAACUUAAGACAGAUGUGUGUGGCCUUGCAGUAUUACGUACCGCAUUCAUACGUAGGAAUCAGAAGUAUGGCCGGUGUGUGAUGGCCCGCUGAGGGCUGGGAUGCUGGUGCUGCUAACAAGGGUUAGUGAUUUGGAACCCUCUUCCCAAACCUAUUUCCCACUUUUCAUACAUCAGCGAUGCACAGAAUGCAAGUUUAGGUCACGGUGUAACUGAUUCUCCUUCUCGGAGUGCUCAGUCGAGUUGCCAGUUUUGAGUUCCAACCAAAUCCAUACACAACGUGGCUCUGUCUGUUCUGACACAGGUACUUUAAAAGCAUUUCUCUCUCCAGUGCCAGUGUUGGAGCGUGUUUCUGCAGCUGGCAGCACACCUGGGACAAGGGGGCAGAGAUCUGUGCUUAGGGGUGAGCAGCGGAGUCAGCCUUUAGUAGCCCAUGGCCCUGGGUAUUGGAGGGAACUGUUGGGGACAGUCACGGCCUCCCCGUUGCCAUACUGGCUGACACAUGGGGUACUGACAGACACCGAGAGGUUUGCAAGUCUCAUUGUUCAGUCUGCUUUUCUGUUCAGCCCCCUGUGCUUGGUUUGUCAGUUUAAUCAUGGAGGUACGGGCUGGAAUUUUUGGCAGUUAUUGUUAUCGGUGAUAAUCAUCUAUCAUCUCAGCAUUGGCUUGGGGUCUAUUUGUGUUCUCACUCAGCAAUUACAUUUUAUGCUUGGAAGUGAUUGCUAAAAUGCUUACUUUCCAACACUGAUUCUUUUCCUGUGCAGCACAAAAUUAGACUGUUUUGUGGAAGCAGAAAUGCUUGGUAGUGGUAGGACUCUGUGCGCUUGCCUAGCAUGCCAUUGCAAGGACAAUCAGCAUGGAAAACCAGGACUUUGAGCUCUGCAUCUCUGCUUGAUCUUGACUUGCUGGUUGAUACCAGGAGCUGCUUCCCAGAUCCUCUUGAUUCGGUUCGAGAAGUUAGAAUUACCUGUAAUCAUUGGUAAACCAAAAGUCCCGAAUGGAGAACAAUGACAGGCGCCUACCGAGAAGGAGAAUCCCGAGGGUCCCGUUUCGGUUACGCAGUGAGAGAGCAGAGGGUGGGAGAGAGCUUGCAAGGUCAUCUCUGUUUGGAAGCAGUUCUCUUGGCCUUUAGCCCUCCCCUCAGCAGCUGACUUCCAAAUGUCAUCAUUUCAAAAACAUCCAGCUCCCCCCUGUGCUUUGGGAUGUGAAAGAAUGACGUUGGCAGAUAGAGGCCUCAAGUUCCUCUCGGAUGCAUCUGGACCAUUUUAUUAGGGAGUCCACUGAGCCUGUGAUCAGCCUGAGUGCAGCUGAUGGUGAGCAGCGCCAAGGUGUGGUACUGAGCUGCUGAUCAAAUUGGUGUAUUUCAGAAGACCUGAAAAAAUUAGAUGAUUGAAACAUCACUCGUAAGCCACAGCUUCGCCAUGAGGACUUUAGGAAAAGCAUGGCUGCACAGAGUACCUUCACCAGCAAUCUUCCAGCCUCCGACAAAACUAUUGUUCUUGAAGACCAGAAAGAUUGUUAUUGAGCUUUCCACAAAGCUGAAAUAAUGCUGUGUGUUAAAAAAAUGUUAACAAUUUGAAGAAGUUAUAAAAAUUUAUAAGUUGACUGAAUACUUUGGAAAUUUCUGCAUAUUUUAAUAUAAAUAGGUAAUGCAAAUGUUUGUUCUUUGCAUUUAGAGGUGGGUCUCUGUUUUCUAAAGGUCUUGUAUAUAAAUUUGAUUCUUACAAUUACAUUAGAACAAAACCAGUAUUUUUUCAGAUUGCAUAAUAGGAAAAGUGUAUUUGCCAAAGACACAGAACAUACGUGGUUAUCCCUGAAUGUCACACAGUCAUGAAAUUUAACAUAAAACAGUAUCAGUUGUUUAAACGACUUAACUAAAUGAAGUUAGGGGACUGCCUGUUGCAGUCAGCUGAGGUCCUUCCAUUCAGUUUCUUAGGUCCUGAGUUGGCACACUAUGCAAAGAGAAAAGCCAUGCUGCAUCUGGCUGAACUAGAGGAAGUGACAUUUUUAAAGAUAUGCUGAAGUUCCAGAUCGCUCUGAUAUAACUUGCAUAAAAAUUCACUUUCAG
ensembl:lncRNA